AUACGUAGGGAGCGAGCGUUGUCCGGAAUUACUGGGUGUAAAGGGAGCGUAGGCGGGAGUGCAAGUCAGAUGUGAAAUACAUGGGCUCAACCCAUGGGCUGCAUUUGAAACUGCAUUUCUUGAGUGAAGUAGAGGUAAGCGGAAUUCCUGGUGUAGCGGUUAAAUGCGUAGAUAUCAGGAGGAACACCGGUGGCGAAGGCGGCUUACUGGGCUUUUACUGACGCUGAGGCUCGAAAGCGUGGGGAGCAAACAGGAUUAGAUACCCUGGUAGUCCACGCUGUAAACGAUGAUUACUAGGUGUGGGGGGACUGACCCCUUCCGUGCCGCAGUUAACACAAUAAGUAAUCCACCUGGGGAGUACGGCCGCAAGGUUGAAACUCAAAUGAAUUGACGGGG
rnacentral:rRNA from 1 species